AAUUCGUAACAAGGUUUCCGUAGUGAACCUGCGGAAGGAUCAUUAACACGUAUCCAACCAAACACCAUACAGCGCUUCGUGCUGGUCGGGAAAACGGUUAUCUAGGGAGUUGGUUGUCAGGGGAGAACCUCGCGAAAUGGGUGGCACGCCGACCAUUCCUGGUUGCGAUGUAAACGUGGUCUCCACUUCAACUUGUUUAGUACCGCCUGUUGCCACGAUUUGGAUCUUGAUGCACCCGUUUUCUGAAAACCACCGCUGGAAACUAUGUCUUCCCGCAAAAGUACCCGCUCGGGGCCUGAGAACCUUCAGAGCUGGAAUAACCGAACAACAAUGGUUAUCUUGGCUCUC
rnacentral:misc_RNA from 1 species